rnacentral:rRNA from 1 species
UCGUGACGUGCAUAUCAAUAAGCGGAGGAAAAGAAACCAACAGGGAUUGCCCUAGUAACGGCGAGUGAAGCGGCAACAGCUCAAAUUUGAAUCUGGCGUCUUUGGCGUCCGAGUUGUAAUUUGCAGAGGGCGCUUUGGCAUUGGCAGCGGUCCAAGUUCCUUGGAACUAGGACGUCACAGAGGGUGAGAAUCCCGUACGUGGUCGCUAGCCUUUACCGUGUAAAGCCCCUUCGACGAGUCGAGUUGUUUGGGAAUGCAGCUCUAAAUGGGAGGUAAAUUUCUUCUAAAGCUAAAUACUGGCCAGAGACCGAUAGCGCACAAGUAGAGUGAUCGAAAGAUGAAAAGCACUUUGGAAAGAGAGUUAAAAACGCACGUGAAAUUGUUGAAAGGGAAGCGCUUGCAGCCAGACUUGCCUGUAGUUGCUCAUCCAGGUUUCUACCUGGUGCACUCUUCUAUAGGCAGGCCAGCAUCAGUUUGGGCGGUUGGAUAAAGGUCUCUGUCAUGUACCUCUCUUCGGGGAGAACUUAUAGGGGAGACGACAUGCAACCAGCCUGGACUGAGGUCCGCGCAUCUGCUUGGCGUCCUGGGCGUCCU